rnacentral:rRNA from 1 species
UGGGGAAUUUUGGACAAUGGGCGAAAGCCUGAUCCAGCAAUGCCGCGUGUGUGAAGAAGGCCCUCGGGUUGUAAAGCACUUUUGUCCGGAAAGAAAUCCUUGGCUCUAAUACAGUCGGGGGAUGACGGUACCGGAAGAAUAAGCACCGGCUAACUACGUGCCAGCAGCCGCGGUAAUACGUAGGGUGCAAGCGUUAAUCGGAAUUACUGGGCGUAAAGCGUGCGCAGGCGGUUUGCUAAGACCGAUGUGAAAUCCCCGGGCUCAACCUGGGAACUGCAUUGGUGACUGGCAGGCUAGAGUAUGGCAGAGGGGGGUAGAAUUCCACGUGUAGCAGUGAAAUGCGUAGAGAUGUGGAGGAAUACCGAUGGCGAAGGCAGCCCCCUGGGCCAAUACUGACGCUCAUGCACGAAAGCGUGGGGAGCAAACAGGAUUAGAUACCCUGGUAGUCCACGCCCUAAAACGAUGUCAACUAGUUGUUGGGGAUUCAUUUCCUUAGUAACGUAGCUAACGCGUGAAGUUGACCGCCUGGGGAGUACGGUCGCAAGAUUAAAACUCAAAUGAAUUGACGGGGUCAUAGCUGUUUCCU